AUUGAACGCUGGCGGAAUGCUUUACACAUGCCAGUCGAACGGCAGCACGGGGGCAGCCCUGGUGGCGAGUGGCGAACGGGUGAGUAAUACAUCGGAACGUGCCCGGUCGUGGGGGAUAACGUAGCGAAAGUUACGCUAAUACUGCAUACGAUCUGAGGAUGAAAGCGGGGGACCUUCGGGCCUCGCGCGAUCGGAGCGGCCGAUGUCAGAUUAGGUAGUUGGUGGGGUAAAGGCCUACCAAGCCGACGAUCUGUAGCUGGUCUGAGAGGACGACCAGCCACACUGGGACUGAGACACGGCCCAGACUCCUACGGGAGGCAGCAGUGGGGAAUUUUGGACAAUGGGCGCAAGCCUGAUCCAGCCAUUCCGCGUGCAGGACGAAGGCCUUCGGGUUGUAAACUGCUUUUGUACGGAACGAAAAGGCUCUGGCUAAUACCUGGGGCUCAUGACGGUACCGUAAGAAUAAGCACCGGCUAACUACGUG
rnacentral:rRNA from 1 species